UGGCCUCACACGGCUGACAUGGCCUGGUCCUGUGUGCAUCCUUCCUGCCUUUGUUCUCACCUCACAGGAGAGCUGGUGAGUGUGGGUAAAGGUGAGAGUGGGGGAGUCGUAGGUGGGUACUCGUUCAGGAGGGACAGAGUCCAGGUCUUUUCUUUCCUCUAUCCCCUCUCAGAGGGAGCAUCUCUUAGGACUGGUCCCAAUUCCAGGCUCAAACCAGAGAAGAAAUACCACAGAGAAGGCAAAUGGCCCCAGGAGAAGGCCUCGCUGCCCUGAGGUAGCCAGCUGGAGUCUGACCACCUUCCUCUUUUCCUAUCUUCUGCUCUCAACCUUGGGCUGGUCUUGGCUCUCAUGUCCUUUGGGGACCUCUUCUGGCCUCUCCAGACUUACUUAGAUCAGGACUUGAAGGUGCAACCAAAAUACCCAUCAAUCUCUGUGCUGAGGCUACUAGACACUUGGCCAGCAAGCAAGCCACGUCCGACUCCUCAGCGUGGGCUCCAGAAUUGGUUUCAAAAAUCAAUAUCCUUCUAGGAAUGGGCACCAGGGGCUGGAUGCGGUCAUCACAGCACAGGCCAUUUGGGGUGUCCGGCGCUAUGAAACAACGAUGAAGAAGAUGACCGGCUAGGCAGGGUUCGGGACAGCUGACACCAGAGCAUGCUUGGAAAGACCAAGCCAGUUACAAGGUGUACCCAAUCAGGAGGCUCCAAAAUGUGACACGGAUUUGCGUUUUCUUUUGAUUCCUUCCUGGUGGUUUUACGUAAGAGGCAGCGCGUUGGGGCCAGGAAGGGACGGAACCAUGGGGCUGGGUUUACACCAGCUAUGCGAAGCCCCUCCGCUCUGCCCCCGCCUGCGAGGGGCUUUCUUGGCUGGGUCUGUUCCUGACAGAAGGGAAGCGAGUUGUGGGGGUGGGGGGGCUUGGCAUGUGUGUGUGUGUGUGAGUGUGUGUGUGUGGUGUGUGUUUAAAAUACAGAAAAAAAAAAAAGAAGCAUGGCUUUCCUCAGCUGCAGAGGCGGGCCGGGUUCUGUCGGUGCCAAGUCCCUCAGAGCGGGCACUGUGGGGACACGGGAGGCACAAGAAGGCUGCAGAGGUGAGGGACGGGUGUGGAGAAAGAUGGACGCUUGCCAUCUCGAGCGCCAGCGGCUGCACGAGGCCAGACCCCACGAACAAAACCCACAGCAGAUCUCUGGCAACCCAUGUUAGGAGGCAGAAGACAGUUGGCAGCGCUGCGGCACAGAGGACAGCCUGGGAGCGGGCGGAUGUAGCCAAGGCCAGCACGGAACAGGGACUCCCAGCCCUCGGAAGUUCAUGGACAAGAAUCCAGGACUAA
rnacentral:lncRNA from 1 species